GGUCAAGCGAAUAAGCGCACACGGUGGAUGCCUAGGCGGUCAGAGGCGAUGAAGGACGUGGUAGCCUGCGAAAAGUGUCGGGGAGCUGGCAACAAGCUUUGAUCCGGCAAUGUCCGAAUGGGGAAACCCACUGCUUCGGCAGUAUCCUGCAGUGAAUUCAUAGCUGCUGGAAGCGAACCCGGUGAACUGAAAUAUCUAAGUAACCGGAGGAAAAGAAAUCAACCGAGAUUCCCUGAGUAGUGACGAGCGAACGGGGAACAGCCCUUAAGCUGGAAUGGCUUUAGAAAAACAAUCUGGAAAGAUUGGCCAUAGAAGGUGAUAGCCCUGUAUUUAAAAGGGCCACUCCAGUGAAGACGAGUAGGGCGGGGCACGUGAAACCCUGUCUGAAUAUGGGGGGACCAUCCUCCAAGGCUAAAUACUCCUGACCGACCGAUAGUGAACCAGUACCGUGAGGGAAAGGCGAAAAGAACCCCGGAGAGGGGAGUGAAAUAGAUCCUGAAACCGUGUGCGUACAAGCAGUAGGAGCUCGCAAGAGUGACUGCGUACCUUUUGUAUAAUGGGUCAGCGACUUACUGUUCGUGGCAAGCUUAACCGUAUAGGGGAGGCGAAGGGAAACCGAGUCUGAUAAGGGCGCAUAGUCGCGGGCAGUAGACCCGAAACCGGGUGAUCUAGUCAUGGCCAGGGUGAAGGUGCCGUAACAGGUACUGGAGGCCCGAACCCACGUCUGUUGCAAAAGACGGGGAUGAGCUGUGAUUAGGAGUGAAAAGCUAAUCGAACCCGGAGAUAGCUGGUUCUCCUCGAAAGCUAUUUAGGUAGCGCCUCGGACGAAUACUACUGGGGGUAGAGCACUGUUAUGGCUAGGGGGUCAUCGCGACUUACCAAACCAUUGCAAACUCCGAAUACCAGUACGUACUAUCCGGGAGACACACGGCGGGUGCUAACGUCCGUCGUGAAAAGGGAAACAACCCAGACCCACAGCUAAGGUCCCAAAUUCACUGCUAAGUGGAAAACGAUGUGGAAAGGCACAGACAGCCAGGAGGUUGGCUUAGAAGCAGCCACCCUUUAAAGAAAGCGUAAUAGCUCACUGGUCGAGUCGGUCUGCGCGGAAGAUUUAACGGGGCUAAGCAGUGAACCGAAGCUUGGGGUGCGUAAAACUUCGGUUUUAUGCGCGGUAGAGGAGCGUUCCGUAAGCCUGCGAAGGUGGAUUGAGAAGUCUGCUGGAGGUAUCGGAAGUGCGAAUGCUGACAUGAGUAACGAUAAUGCGGGUGAAAAGCCCGCACGCCGAAAGCCCAAGGUUUCCUUGCGCAACGUUAAUCGACGCAGGGUUAGUCGGUCCCUAAGGCGAGGGCGAAAGCCGUAGUCGAUGGGAAGCAGGUUAAUAUUCCUGCACCUCGCGUGAGUGCGAUGGAGGGACGGAGAAGGUUAGGUGUACCGGGCGUUGGUUGUCCCGGGGAAAGGCGGUAGGUUUGAAUCUUUGGCAAAUCCGGGAUUCUUUAAGACCGAGCACCGAGACGAGCCUUUAUGGCGAAGUCACUGAUACCACGCUUCCAGGAAAAGCUCCUAAGCUUCAGCUCACGAAGACCGUACCGUAAACCGACACAGGUGGGUAGGAUGAGAAUUCUCAGGCGCUUGAGAGAACUCGGGUGAAGGAACUAGGCAACAUGGCACCGUAACUUCGGGAGAAGGUGCACCCUUUUUGGUGGCUCAUGCGAGCUAUAGCUGAAGAGGGUCGCAGAAACCAGGCCGCUGCGACUGUUUAUCAAAAACACAGCACUCUGCAAACACGAAAGUGGACGUAUAGGGUGUGACGCCUGCCCGGUGCUGGAAGGUUAAUUGAUGGGGUCAGCCGCAAGGCGAAGCUCUUGAUCGAAGCCCCAGUAAACGGCGGCCGUAACUAUAACGGUCCUAAGGUAGCGAAAUUCCUUGUCGGGUAAGUUCCGACCUGCACGAAUGGCGUAACGACAGCGGCGCUGUCUCCACCCGAGACUCAGUGAAAUUGAAAUCGCUGUGAAGAUGCAGCGUUCCCGUGGCAAGACGGAAAGACCCCGUGAACCUUUACUAUAGCUUUACACUGAACGUUGAGUUCGUCUGUGUAGGAUAGGUGGGAGGCUAUGAAACUGUGGCGCUAGCUGCAGUGGAGCCAUCCUUGAAAUACCACCCUGUCGUGCUUGACGUUCUAACCUAGAUCCGUUAUCCGGAUCAGGGACCGUGUAUGGUGGGUAGUUUGACUGGGGCGGUCUCCUCCUAAAGAGUAACGGAGGAGCACGAAGGUACGCUCAGCGCGGUCGGACAUCGCGCACUGUGUGCAAAGGCAUAAGCGUGCUUGACUGCAAGAUCGACGGAUCAAGCAGGUACGAAAGUAGGUCUUAGUGAUCCGGUGGUUCUGUAUGGAAGGGCCAUCGCUCAACGGAUAAAAGGUACUCCGGGGAUAACAGGCUGAUACCGCCCAAGAGUUCAUAUCGACGGCGGUGUUUGGCACCUCGAUGUCGGCUCAUCACAUCCUGGGGCUGUAGUCGGUCCCAAGGGUAUGGCUGUUCGCCAUUUAAAGUGGUACGCGAGCUGGGUUCAGAACGUCGUGAGACAGUUCGGUCCCUAUCUGCCAUGGGCGUUGGAAGUUUGAGAGGGGCUGCUCCUAGUACGAGAGGACCGGAGUGGACGAACCUCUGGUGUUCCGGUUGUCACGCCAGUGGCAUUGCCGGGUAGCUAUGUUCGGAAGCGAUAACCGCUGAAAGCAUCUAAGCGGGAAGCGCGCCUCAAGAUGAGACUUCCCGGGGCACAAGCCCCCUAAAGGAACCAUGUAGACUACGUGGUUGAUAGGUCAGGUGUGUAAGUACAGCAAUGUAUUGAGCUAACUGAUACUAAUGAUCCGUGCGGCUUGACCAU
rnacentral:rRNA from 1 species